rnacentral:antisense_RNA from 1 species
GCUCGAACUAUUUUGGGUAUAUGCAUUAGUUGAAAGCAGAUAGAAAAAAGCCCCACCCGACUAUAAAUCGAAGUGAGGCUCAAUCUUAUGCAAGACAACAUGAGGUUAGUCUCUUACCCGCCGCAAGGCAAGGAAAAGGA